rnacentral:lncRNA from 1 species
UCCAUGUCAAGAAGAAUUUUAAAUUAUUUUUAUAACAAUAAUAGAAUUAUAUUCCAUCCUAAAUCACUGUCAUGUCUGCACAAAAGCAGAAUACAAAGACUUGUGCAACAAUGAUGAUUAUCAACCUCAAAAAUAUUGAUUAUCAGCACUGAAAUUUAACACAGGAUGAAAAUUCAAAAUUCUACGCUACCAAUAUAAACAUGCUGCCAAAAAGCUUUAUACCCGAGGCUUGUCGGGAACACCGUUUGAACCUUCAAAACAUGUCAGAUGAAAUAUUUGUGCAAUGUUGGUGAUGAUUUUACAAACUAAUCAUUUAGGCCUCACCAAGUA